CGGGGUGGAUUAGUGGCGAACGGGUGAGUAACACGUGGGCAAUCUGCCCUUCACUCUGGGACAAGCCCUGGAAACGGGGUCUAAUACCGGAUAACACUCCUACAGGCAUGUGUGGGGGUUGAAAGCUCCGGCGGUGAAGGAUGAGCCCGCGGCCUAUCAGCUUGUUGGUGAGGUAGAAGCUCACCAAGGCGACGACGGGUAGCCGGCCUGAGAGGGCGACCGGCCACACUGGGACUGAGACACGGCCCAGACUCCUACGGGAGGCAGCAGUGGGGAAUAUUGCACAAUGGGCGAAAGCCUGAUGCAGCGACGCCGCGUGAGGGAUGACGGCCUUCGGGUUGUAAACCUCUUUCAGCAGGGAAGAAGCGAAAGUGACGGUACCUGCAGAAGAAGCGCCGGCUAACUACGUGCCAGCAGCCGCGGUAAUACGUAGGGCGCAAGCGUUGUCCGGAAUUAUUGGGCGUAAAGAGCUCGUAGGCGGUCUGUCGCGUCGGAUGUGAAAGCCCGGGGCUUAACCCCGGGUCUGCAUUCGAUACGGGCAGACUAGAGUGUGGUAGGGGAGAUCGGAAUUCCUGGUGUAGCGGUGAAAUGCGCAGAUAUCAGGAGGAACACCGGUGGCGAAGGCGGAUCUCUGGGCCAUUACUGACGCUGAGGAGCGAAAGCGUGGGGAGCGAACAGGAUUAGAUACCCUGGUAGUCCACGCCGUAAACGGUGGGAACUAGGUGUUGGCGACAUUCCACGUCGUCGGUGCCGCAGC
rnacentral:rRNA from 1 species